rnacentral:tRNA from 1 species
AUGGAAAUCUCUGUAAUUUUUAGAUAGUAUAGGGGCGGAUGUAGCCAA